rnacentral:misc_RNA from 1 species
GGUUUAAACAUUAGUUUGUCAUAUAAUUAUUUUUAUAGCCAAAAAUGGAUACUGAAUUAAAUCCACCAUCUGAAUUGGGAGAGAAUAUUAGUUAUCCAUCAUCUGAAGAGAAGUUUAUAUUUUUUUACAAUCUUAAUGGUUAUCAAAAUAAAUUGACAGUUAAUGUAAAAAUACCUUUAAAAUCUGUUUAUGAAUUUGGAUUUCGUAUUAUUGAAUCCCAUUCUAUACCCUGUUAUUUAGAAGAAGAACUCAUCCAAUCAUUGGAUUUAUUUGUCCAACAAAAAACAAAAGAUCUUUGGGAUUCAACAUUUUCAAAAAUGAUUUCAAAUGUUCAAAAUUCAGAAGAGUAUUGCAAAUUAGUUCAAGAUUGGGUAAAAGUUUUUUUAAAAGUAAAUGAAACAAAUGAAUGUGACGAUUUGCAGUCAUCUUGGGCUAGCGUUUAUCAUUCUUUAAUUCAUUCUCCAGCUUUAGAACAACUUUUGCAGUUAGAGCAUAACUUUGCUCUAGCAAUAAAAGAGUUGAAUAAACAAAAAGAUUGUCAAAUUGAAGAUUUAAAUGAAAGGCAUGUUGCUGAAAUGGAACAAAUGAUCUCAAAUGUUGGUGACACUCGAAAUGAUAGUGACGUAAAUGAUUUAGCUGCUAAACAGUUAGAUGAAUCACAGAUAUUGGAGACAUUUUGGUCUAAUGCUCUUUUAGAGCUUAAAGAGACCCAAAAGCAUGAAUAUAAGCACUGGGUGCAAACAGUUCAUGAUAACAUUGUCAAUGAUAGACCACUGCCACGCACACGAAGAAUUUCUUCAGAAAGUUUAAAUAAUUUUGAAUUACCUAAUCAAUCAGAAGUUCACAUGGAAGAGAGUUUUACUAUAUAUUUAGGAAAUCAAAUAAAAAGUAUGCAUAAUAUUCGAUUAGUCUGUCGUGAUGUAAUGGACUACUGUCAAUGUAAGACCUCGUUUAUUGGAAAUAAUAUGGUACUGCAACCUCAGCGUCUUCAGACAGCAAUGACAUUGUACUCUGAAUCUUUAUCUGGUCUUAUUUUGCUAGUUGAUGACAGGUUAACUGCAAGAACUGCUAUUAAAAAAAAGUUUGAUUUGGUGUGCAAUGAAUCUAGCGACUUCCAUUUUACUGAAAUUGAUAAGCAGCUAAGUGUGAUUGAAGAAACUUUGAAGAGUUAUCAUUUAAGUUCAUCAACCUCUGAGUUAAAUAAGACAGCAAAAAACAAAAAUCUAUUACAGACAGGUGAUUUUUACAUCACAAAGCAUUCGAAUCUUGCUGAAGUGCAUGCUGUUUUCCAUUUAGUAUGUGAUGACUCAGUAAUUUCGGGGUCUUUAAAUUCACGCCAUCCAAUAAUGAUUGGUUUGCGAAAUAUACUAUUAGUAGCAGCCCGGCAUAGCAUUAACAAUCUUAUAGUUCCAUUGCUUCUUGUUCAUGAAAUGGAACUUUACAGUUCAAUGGUGUAUGAAGAGAGCUGAGCUUAUUUUUAAAUGUGUUAAAGGUUUUAUGAUGGAAGGUUUGUCAUGGGAUGGUCAAGACUCAAAAACUGUACAGUUUGUAGUUCCUCCGGGAAUAUCAGAAGAAUUGUUUUUGGCUUUCAGUAAUAUGCUUCCAAAUAUCUUCCGAGUUUCAACAACACUUAA